AGUGAAUAGAUACCCGGGUAGUCCACGCCGUAAACGAUGAGCACUAGGUGUCGGGGUCGCAAGACUUCGGUGCCGCAGUUAAACGCAUUAAGUGCUCCGCCUGGGGAGUACGUUCGCAAGAAUGAAACUCAAAGGAAUUGACGGGGACCCGCACAAGCAGCGGAGCAUGUGGUUUAAUUCGAAGCAACGCGAAGAACCUUACCAGGACUUGACAUCCUUCUGACAGGACCUUAACCGGUCCCUCCUUCGGGCAGAAGAGACAGGUGGUGCAUGGUUGUCGUCAGCUCGUGUCGUGAGAUGUUGGGUUAAGUCCCGCAACGAGCGCAACCCUUGUCAUUAGUUGCCAUCAUUUGGUGGUCGACUCUAGUGAGACUGCCGGGGAGUAACUCGGAGGAAGGUGGGGAGUGACGUCAAAUACAUCAUGCCCUUACUGUUCUGGCGUACACACGUGCUACAAUGGCCGGUACAAACGAAGACGCAAGACCGCGAGGUGGAGCAAAUACUUCAAAACCGGUA
rnacentral:rRNA from 1 species